rnacentral:rRNA from 1 species
GUGGGGAAUAUUGGACAAUGGGCGCAAGCCUGAUCCAGCAACGCCGCGUGAGGGAUGACGGCCUUCGGGUUGUAAACCUCUUUCAGCAGGGACGAAGCGAAAGUGACGGUACCUGCAGAAGAAGGACCGGCCAACUACGUGCCAGCAGCCGCGGUAAUACGUAGGGUCCGAGCGUUGUCCGGAAUUAUUGGGCGUAAAGGGCUCGUAGGCGGUCUGUCGCGUCGGGAGUGAAAACUCAGGGCUCAACCCUGAGCGUGCUUCCGAUACGGGCAGACUAGAGGUAUGCAGGGGAGAACGGAAUUCCUGGUGUAGCGGUGGAAUGCGCAGAUAUCAGGAGGAACACCGGUGGCGAAGGCGGUUCUCUGGGCAUUACCUGACGCUGAGGAGCGAAAGCAUGGGGAGCGAACAGGAUUAGAUACCCUGGUAGUCC